GAUGAACGCUGGCGGCGUGCUUAACACAUGCAAGUCGAACGAAGCAUUUGCGACAGAUUUUUUCGGAAUGAAGUUGCUUAUGACUGAGUGGCGGACGGGUGAGUAACGCGUGGGUAACCUGCCUUGUACUGGGGGAUAGCAGCUGGAAACGGCUGGUAAUACCGCAUAAGCGCACAAUGUUGCAUGACAUGGUGUGAAAAACUCCGGUGGUAUAAGAUGGACCCGCGUCUGAUUAGCUAGUUGGUGAGAUAACAGCCCACCGAGGCGACGAUCAGUAGCCGACCUGAGAGGGUGACCGGCCACAUUGGGACUGAGACACGGCCCAGACUCCUACGGGAGGCAGCAGUGGGGAAUAUUGCACAAUGGAGGAAACUCUGAUGCAGCGACGCCGCGUGAGUGAAGAAGUAAUUCGUUAUGUAAAGCUCUAUCAGCAGGGAAGAUAGUGACGGUACCUGACCAAGAAGCUCCGGCUAAAUACGUG
rnacentral:rRNA from 1 species